GUGGGGAAUUUUGGACAAUGGGCGCAAGCCUGAUCCAGCAAUGCCGCGUGCAGGAAGAAGGCCUUCGGGUUGUAAACUGCUUUUGUACGGAACGAAAAGGCUCUGGUUAAUACCUGGGGCUCAUGACGGUACCGUAAGAAUAAGCACCGGCUAACUACGUGCCAGCAGCCGCGGUAAUACGUAGGGUGCAAGCGUUAAUCGGAAUUACUGGGCGUAAAGCGUGCGCAGGCGGUUUUGUAAGACAGACGUGAAAGCCCCGGGCUCAACCUGGGAAUGGCGUUUGUGACUGCAAAGCUGGAGUGCGGCAGAGGGGGAUGGAAUUCCGCGUGUAGCAGUGAAAUGCGUAGAUAUGCGGAGGAACACCGAUGGCGAAGGCAAUCCCCUGGGCCUGCACUGACGCUCAUGCACGAAAGCGUGGGGAGCAAACAGGAUUAGAUACCCCUGUAGUCC
rnacentral:rRNA from 1 species